rnacentral:lncRNA from 9 species
GCACCACGCACUCCCCACGCACCGCACCGCGCGCGCCACCAGGCGCACCGCGCAGGUUCUAGGUGGGGCUGUGCUGAAGCAGGUUGUCAGCGCUUGGCAAAGAAAGGGGCGUGUGUAAGCUGAAAAGGCAAAGAAAAACCAGAAAAUGAGAGGAAAUGAGCCAACCUUUUGCUUAGUCACACUCACUUCAAUGAAAAAGAAAAAUAGCCCUUAACUUUCAGCGACUGCCUGGAAACAGCUAAGUCUCAUUGUUAUUAGUUGCAGUGUCAACGUAGGAACUGUGGAUAAUGUUUUUUGGUAUAGAACACUCCAUGUUAUCUCACUAUAAGCUAUAAAGUUAAAGAAAACAUUUGAACUUUGUAGCAUUGCUGACAUUAUCAAUUUCUAAUAUUUGCUAAUAUUUCUUUCUCAUGGGUUAAACUCAUUAAUUUGAUAUAUCAAUGGGUAUGUAGAAGUAUGUUAUUUUGACAAAUAAUAUUAAAUAACCGUAAAAUAUCAUUAUAAAACAUUAUCUUUCACCAUUCCUUUGUAUUUAUUUUAAACUAAGUUGUUUAGUUGCAAUUGUGGGGAGUACUGUCUAAAGCAAGGAGGAAUAUAGAAUACAUAUAUUUAUAAGAUGAAGUACAGGUAGUUAUAGCUGAAAUACUCUGUAUUUAAAACAUGCUCUUCUCUACUUAAAUGUCUGGC